AUACGGAGGGUGCGAGCGUUAAUCGGAAUUACUGGGCGUAAAGCGUACGUAGGCGGUUGGUUAAGUUAGAUGUGAAAGCCCCGGGCUUAACCUGGGAACUGCAUUUAAAACUGGCGAACUAGAGUUGAGUAGAGGGGAGUGGAAUUUCAGGUGUAGCGGUGAAAUGCGUAGAGAUCAGAAGGAACACCAGUGGCGAAGGCGACUCCCUGGACUCGAACUGACGCUGAGGUACGAAAGCGUGGGUAGCAAACGGGAUUAGAAACCCCAGUAGUCC
rnacentral:rRNA from 1 species